UGCCUACGUGGAGAAAUUGGUAGACUCGCCAUCUUGAGGGGGUGGUGCUCGUUAGGGCGUGCUGGUUCGAAUCCAGUCGUAGGCACAGA
rnacentral:tRNA from 1 species